rnacentral:rRNA from 1 species
UACGUAGGGGGCAAGCGUUGUCCGGAAUCAUUGGGCGUAAAGCGCGUGUAGGCGGCUCGGUAAGUCCGCUCUGAAAGUCCAGGGCUCAACCCUGGGAUGCGGGUGGAUACUGCCGGGCUCGAGUCCGGAAGAGGCGAGUGGAAUUCCCGGUGUAGCGGUGAAAUGCGCAGAUAUCGGGAGGAACACCAAUGGCGAAGGCAGCUCGCUGGGACGUGACUGACGCUGAGGCACGAAAGCGUGGGGAGCAAACAGG